rnacentral:rRNA from 1 species
GGAAAUCUCAUCAGGCCCGGACACUGGAAGGAUUGACAGAUUGAUACCUCUUUCUUGAUUCUGUGGGUGGUGGUGCAUGGCCGUUCUUAGUUGGUGGAGUGAUUUGUCUGGCUUAAUUUGACUCAACACGGGAAAUCUCACCAGGCCCGGACACUGGAAGGAUUGACAGAUUGAUAGCUCUUUCUUGUUAGCAAUAA